rnacentral:rRNA from 1 species
UGCAAGUUGAGCGAAGCUUUUUGGUAGUUUACUACUAGAAAUGACUGAGCGGCGAACGGGUGAGUAACGCGUGAGCAAUCUACCUUAGUUACUGGGAUAGCCCGAGGAAACUCGGAUUAAUACCGGAUAUUCUUAUUUUUUCACAUGAAGUUUUAAGGAAAGGUCAGCCGAACUAAGAUGAGCUCGCGUUCUAUCAGCUAGUUGGUGGGGUAAAAGCCUACCAAGGCUACGACGGAUAGCUGGUCUGAGAGGACGAUCAGCCACACUGGGACUGAGACACGGCCCAGACUCCUACGGGAGGCUGCAGCAGGGAAUAUUGUGCAAUGAGCGAAAGCUUGACACAGCGACACCGCGUGUGGGAUGACGGUUCUAGGAUUGUAAACCACUUUCAGGAGGGAAGAAAAUGACGGUACCUCCACAAGAAGACCCGGCCAACUAUGUGCCAGCAGCCGCGGUAAUACAUAGGGGUCAAGCGUUGUCCGGAUUUAUUAGGCGUAAAGAGCUCGUAGGCGGUUCAACAAGUCGGUCGUAAAAGUUUAGGGCUCAACCCUAAAAUGUCGAUCGAUACUGUUGUGACUAGGAUACGGUAGAGGUGGAUGGAAUUCCGAGUGUAGCGGUGAAAUGCGUAGAUAUUCGGAGGAACACCAAUUGCGAAGGCAGUUCACUGGACCGUGAUCGACGCUGAGGAGCGAAAGCUAGGGGAGCAAACAGGAUUAGAUACCCUGGUAGUCCUAGCUGUAAACGAUGGAUACUAGAUGUAGGAACUGGAUUGACGGUUUCUGUAUCGUAGCUAACGCGUUAAGUAUCCCGCCUGGGGAGUACGG